rnacentral:rRNA from 1 species
AGAGACGCAAGGCUGCGAAGCGGAGCAAAACUCUAAAACCGGUCCCAGUUCGGAUUGCAGGCUGCAACUCGCCUGCAUGAAGUUGGAGUUGCUAGUAAUCGCGGAUCAGAAUGCCGCGGUGAAUGCGUUCCCGGGUCUUGUACACACCGCCCGUCACACCAUGGAAGUUGGGGGCGCCCGAAGCCCGUGAGCCAACUUUUUAAGAGGCAGCGGUCUAAGGUAGAAUCAAUGAUUGGGGUGAAGUCGUAACAAGGUAAC